ACGGCCAUACCAUGCUGAAUAUACCGGUUUUCGUUAGAUCACCGAAGUCAAGCAUCAUUGGGCGCGGUCAGUACUUGGGUGGGGGACCACCUGGGAACACCGCGUGC
rnacentral:rRNA from 1 species